GUUGUUAAGUUUGACCGUUAACUUAACAAAAAAAGCUUACGUGUGUCAAAAAAAUGACACAUCAGCUUUUUUGUUGAGUUAACGGUCAAACUUAACAGCAU
rnacentral:pre_miRNA from 1 species